rnacentral:rRNA from 1 species
GACGAACGCUGGCGGCGUGCCUAAUACAUGCAAGUUGAGCGCUGAAGGUUGGUACUUGUACCGACUGGAUGAGCAGCGCACGGGUGAGUAACGCGUGGGGAAUCUGCCUUUGAGCGGGGGACAACAUUUGGAAACGAAUGCUAAUACCGCAUAAAAACUUUAAACACAAGUUUUAAGUUUGAAAGAUGCAAUUGCAUCACUCAAAGAUGAUCCCGCGUUGUAUUAGCUAGUUGGUGAGGUAAAGGCUCACCAAGGCGAUGAUACAUAGCCGACCUGAGAGGGUGAUCGGCCACAUUGGGACUGAGACACGGCCCAAACGCCUACGGGAGGCAGCAGUAGGGAAUCUUCGGCAAUGGACGAAAGUCUGACCGAGCAACGCCGCGUGAGUGAAGAAGGUUUUCGGAUCGUAAAACUCUGUUGGUAGAGAAGAACGUUGGUGAGAGUGGAAAGCUCAUCAAGUGACGGUAACUACCCAGAAAGGGACGGCUAACUACGUG